ensembl:lncRNA LINC02759 long intergenic non-protein coding RNA 2759
ACAUGUAGUAUGAACAUAAAGCACAGUUGAUUCCUGAGCUGUGAUGACUUUCCACUGACCAUACUACUGCAAUGAUGUUAUUCUGGGCCAAACUUCGGAAUCAAUUCUUGUCUGCUGCCUGAUUCAAUUAUUUUUAAUGCACCCUGUGGAUUUUUACUUGCUAAAGUAGAAAGAAGAUCCCAACAUUUGAUGAGAAAAUAUACAGAAGGUAAUUUCUACAAAAUGUUAAAUGUUUUUAUUCAAUGCUCUAUCCUGAUUUUUUAAAAAAGUCCUGGCUCACGCCUGUAAUCCCAACACUUUGGGAGGCCGAGGCGGGUGGAUCACAAAGUCAGGAGUUCGAGACCAGCCUGGCCAACAUAGUGAAACCCAUCUCUACUAAAAAUACAAAAAAUUAGCCAGGCAUGGUGGCAUGCACCUGUAAUGCCAGCUACUCGAGAGGCUGAGGCAGGAGAAUCACUUGAACCUGGGUGGCAGAGGUUGCAGUGAGCCGAGAUCACACCACUGAACUCCAGCCCUGGCAACAGUGUGAGACUUUUUCACCAAUGUAAUGAAAUUAUUUUUGACACCAGUGAUGUUUCCUUUGAGGAAGUUCCCGCUUUUACAAUAACAAUAACUAGAACCAUAAUAAUGAGUAGACAGACUGGACAUUAUUUAUUUGGUCUGGGAAAGCACUGCUUAACAUAACUCCUCUGUAUAUGCCUGAAAUGUAACCAUGAAACAUACAGUUGCUUUUUACAUCAAGGAUCAAACUCUUGAAAUUUUUUCCUUAUGCUCUUUUUCACUAGACCCUUUCCAUUGCCUUUCCUUUGGCUGUUCUUACUUUUCUUAGCCUCAAUAGUUACCUUCCAUUUAGCCUACCACCACGAGGGAAAAAAAGAAAAAAUUAAAAACUGACUAAUAUUUUCUAAACCUGUGUUUCUAGAUGUGGAUCUCUCUUUUGGGCAGAUGAAAGUAUAUUGAGUUUACACAUGGUGACAGUACAGAUUUGUUUUUAAUUACAAAAGAACAUGGCUACUGCCUUUGAAUUCUCAACAUUCAGCGUGGUCAGCAGUAGUAAACCUGGCAAUUUGAGGGCAACCCAAGUAAUAGCAGCAACAGCAACAACAGACCUUAAUCAAGCAAUUAAUAUGUGCCAUGUCUCUUGCUAGACAUUUUAACAAGAGUUAUUUUACCUAUGUCACACACUUGUAAUUAUCUGCAUAGUAAAUAAAUGCUUUUAAGGCAUAGGUCACAUGUCUGACUCACAGCUGCGAUGUGGUGGAUCCAAAUCUCUCUGAGGCCAAAUACUGCCCAGCUCGAAUGAACGCUAUGCUCCAUGCCUGAAACAACUGCUCCAGCCCUCAGAAAAGAGUCUCCCAUUCAACUGAAGUCUGCAUAUCAGAUUCCCGUGGGAUAAUUCAUAAAGGCUCCUUGAAGUUAAUUCUGGGUAUAUCCUGAAAUAGAGGGUCUCCUCUGUUUUUUCUUCUUUUUUUCCACAACUGAGGAGACACUAGUGCCUACUUAUCUCAAUAAUGGGAUUUCUCUUUGAUGCAAUUGCAGUUUUUACUAGGCCUUUCAAUAAAUAUGUUGAAUAU